rnacentral:pre_miRNA from 1 species
AGGAGGAACAACCGCAGUGGCGGGGCCAGCUCUGCAGCCCUGGAGUCAGCUCCCGCAGUAGCUCCAGAGCUCUCGGUCAGCAGGGCCUGGAGGCUCCGGGGCGGG